GACGAACGCUGGCGGCGUGCUUAACACAUGCAAGUCGAACGGAAAGGCCCUGCUUUUGUGGGGUGCUCGAGUGGCGAACGGGUGAGUAACACGUGAGUAACCUGCCCUUGACUUUGGGAUAACUUCAGGAAACUGGGGCUAAUACCGGAUAGGAGCUCCUGCUGCAUGGUGGGGGUUGGAAAGUUUCGGCGGUUGGGGCUGGACUCGCGGCUUAUCAGCUUGUUGGUGGGGUAGUGGCUUACCAAGGCUUUGACGGGUAGCCGGCCUGAGAGGGGGACCGGCCACAUUGGGACUGAGAUACGGCGCAGAAUCCUACGGGAGGCAGCAGUGGGGAAUAUUGCACAAUGGGCGGAAGCCUGAGGCAGCAACGCCGCGUGCGGGAUGACGGCCUUCGGGUUGUAAACCGCUUUCGCCUGUGACGAAGCGUGAGUGACGGUAAUGGGUAAAGAAGCACCGGCUAACUACGUG
rnacentral:rRNA from 1 species